AUUGAACGCUGGCGGCAGGCCUAACACAUGCAAGUCGAGCGGAUGAAGGGAGCUUGCUCCUGGAUUCAGCGGCGGACGGGUGAGUAAUGCCUAGGAAUCUGCCUGGUAGUGGGGGAUAACGUCCGGAAACGGGCCCUAAUACCGCAUACGUCCUGAGGGAGAAAGGGGGGGAUCUUCGGACCUCACGCUAUCAGAUGAGCCUAGGUCGGAUUAGCUAGUUGGUGGGGUAAAGGCCUACCAAGGCGACGAUCCGUAACUGGUCUGAGAGGAUGAUCAGUCACACUGGAACUGAGACACGGUCCAGACUCCUACGGGAGGCAGCAGUGGGGAAUAUUGGACAAUGGGCGAAAGCCUGAUCCAGCCAUGCCGCGUGUGUGAAGAAGGUCUUCGGAUUGUAAAGCACUUUAAGUUGGGAGGAAGGGCAGUAAGUUAAUACCUUGCUGUUUUGACGUUACCAACAGAAUAAGCACCGGCUAACUUCGUG
rnacentral:rRNA from 1 species